UAAUAAAUGUUUGUGGAUAAGAUAGCUAAGCAUUUGAAUCCAUAAUACAACAGCUAAAUCAUGCAAGUUAUGCAAAUAUAACCUGAUUGACAGCUUCACCGAAU